CACACUCUAUGUGUUUAUUACUUUAGAGGAAAAACGAUUGUACUUGAAAUUGUUUUCGUAUCAUAAUGCUUCGUGAUAUAGUUUGGCCUCCUACGUAAACAAUGUCACAAAAAAAUAUGUAAUAAAUGUUAUGAUGGACUAUUGACGUUGUAAGCAUUUUUAAAUAAUCGGGUCACGUUUUGUCAAGAAGUUUCUUUAAUGAAAAGUGUAUUGUUUUGCUAACUAGAAGAAAGGAGUUAAUGCUGAAUUGAAGCUUCACGCUACGCCGUGUCUUCAAAAUAUAUAAUGAUAUGAUAUACCUACCGAUGAGCGUUUACAUUUGUCCAUAAAGUAACGAAUUUAAUUAAGGUUUCGUGCAUAGCCAUGAUAAAACUAAUUCAAUUACUAUUUAUUUAUUUGAUUCAACAUACCAUUUGUGCCGGAAUAGAAAUAAGAAUUGAUGCAGAUGACGCUAUAAAAAUUUUGAACAUUUUUGUAAGGUCUCCUAUAUAUAAAGGCAUUACAAACGAUUUGAGAAAGUCUGCUUCUGAUUACAAUAAUCCAUAUCACCCCGAGGACGAUAUAUUAUCUAGCAAUGGAGUGAUGUCUAGUACACAAGCAACAACCGAAUCGCCAGAAGAUGCUAAGCUAGAAACUGAUAAUAAAAAAUAUAGCGGCAAAGUGAGCGAAGAUGAGUUGGCUGAUACUUUGGAUGAGCCCAGUAUAAAUAAUUCUACAAUCCCAGAUAAUGAGUUUCAUCAGAAUGACACUAGCAUUUUAGAGAUCGUUGAUAAGACCAAUGCCAUACCGAAAAUGACUGAAGGGGAUAUUCAAGACUAUCAGCCCUUGAAAAAAAGAUUUUCAGUUUUAAAAGGUGGAUAAAAAAGCAAAAUUAAAAAAAAAUGUUAUUAGAGCAUAAUGGUGUUUUUUGCGAUAUAGUUAGUUAGCUAUUAUUGUGUGAGUGAUUCGUAACAUGAGUAAGCUCGUAUUUCAGUGAUAACUAAAAAUUCUCUGUCCUUUAUAGAUAUCAGGUAUAUAACGGAUGGAAGGAAUUCCCGGGGCCGAUAGAGUUGUGAAAGAUAAAAGCAAUGUGGGUCACUUUCUUUGAACAUUUCCAUACAAAAAGGACACGUUUUAAUUGCUCCUGAGUAGUUAAAUUAUUAGUUAAAGAGCUUAAAACUACAAACGUUGAAACUUGAUAGCCUUGUGUAAUAUGUAUAUCCAUUGUUGGCAACGGUUUACAUAAGUUCUACAUUCGCAGCCAUUGCCAAGCCUUGAAUAAAAUUGCAUUUAGUUCUCAGCUUGAAUCCGGUUAGGAAUUUACCUACCACCUUAUUCAUUAAACUAUACAUACCUCGUACAUAUAGCAAACGCACAACUUUUGUCGCCAACAUGAAGAUUAUGGCAAGCUACCUUAUAAAAAAAAUAAAGUUUCUAGAUUACAUACCGUAGAGUUACCAAAGUAUUAAAAACCGGACAACUGCGAGUCGAACUUUUGUUCCGUCGGAGGGUUCCGUGCAAAUUUAACCUAUUAGUGUUCCGUACAAAACUUUGUUCACGGAACACUUAUGGGAUCACUUCGGUCUUGAAAAUCAGUUAAAUGCGUUUUUCUCAGAGACCUUUUGACGUAGAUACCUAAAAUUUGGAACAGUUAUAGCAAUUACCACCACUCAUAUUGUAAAUAAGCCAAAACUGCUUAUUUCUUAUUUAAGGGGGAAAUUUAGGGGGUUGAGAGGGGUAGGCUGUUUUUUUUUUAUUUGUUAUAAUCGUGUGGGGUACCAUUAGAAAGCUUGCAAAAAAUGGAGUCGAUGGACUGAUUUUGACUUCAUUUUAGAGUGCAAUAGUUUCGAUAAAAAAUGCAUUUAAAGUUGCAAGUUUUCAUACAAAAAUUUUCUACUCUGUCCUGGCGAUUUUCUCGAAAACUAUAGCUAACAGUAACAGGCAGCUGACCAGUCAAUACCCAACUUAAAGAAGCAUGGAGACGGCGGGAAAAUUAUCAGCUUAACUUUAUCUUUAUUAGUUUUUCAACUGCAGCCUGAUCUUUGGUUGCUUAGGGCUGGCUAACUGAUGCUUACACUGGUCAUUUCAUAUUAGGAAGUAGUUUUAGCGAGAAAGAUCCUUAGUAAAAACUUUGUCAUUGAAAUUUAUGACUUAUGUCUUUGACACAAAGUUUAAUUCUGCUUGCUUAUUGUUGUGGGAUAUUUAAUUUUAUCUGAAUAGCCUACUAUAAGUAUGAGAGAGAUCUACAAAAUACAACCUUAUUAUAUUGCAAAUAAGUUUAAAUUUCGAACAGGCUUUCCAACCAAUGGACAGUUCAAUGUGCUCAGUAAGAAUCAUAUUUAUUAUUGCAGUUUAUCUGAAAAAUUCAAAUUAAGAAUUCCGUUCUUCACUGUCGUUGUGUUUUUUGUUCACAAUAGGACACAUAGAGUUAGUAAGGCGUAUAGACAUAAUAAAGUCAUUUAAUAUUUAUUAACAGCUAUGGCCUCAUCUAAGGUUUACUCGGGUAAUUCCGAAUGUCGAAAACUGUCGGAUAAUUCCGAAAGAGACUUUUAUUAUGAUGGAAUUAAGGGUGAUUUUCAUCUGAAUUUCGGAAUUAUCCGACAUUCGGUAAUACCCGAAUACACCUUAUAGAUUUUAUUGAGAGUAUCUGAUUCGUCGAAACAAUAUACACAAUAUUCCUUUUCAUUAAGUACCAUUACAUUGAUGUAUUAAUUGUAUAUAAUUAGUAUGUAUUAAUUGUAUUCAGUACUUAAAUAUGUAUAUUUUUGAACGGAUCGGUGAGCAACCAGAUCCCGUCCUGUUACGAGAAAAUAAUUUUGGAAGACGUUUAUAGUACCUAUAUGACAGUUAGAAUUCACAGUUUUUGGAAACAAAGGUAAAGUUGACGAAAUAUAAAGUAAGCCGAUCUUGUUCAAACUUGUUUGAGAGAUCGGCUAACUUUAUAUUUCGUCAACCUUACAGCCAGCGCAGAUACAAAAUGUCAGUUAAGAUUUGGUACUCAUGAAUCCCAGUUCUACUAAAAUAAUUUUCUUUUAAAUACAGUAAUUGAAAAGUUUUUCUUUUUUAAAUUCUUUAAAAAACACGUUUCUUCGGCCAAAAUUCAAGACGUGUAGAAAAUAUUAAUAACUGACUCAUAACUUAUAUUUUUUUGUCAGCUUAAGUAGAGUAAUAACACUAAUAGCCUAUUAAUGCGGUUUAUAUUGCAUUAGAAGUACUUACAUUAUAAAAACUAAGAGUUAGACCAAGAAAAGUCUGCAGCGAUUCGAUUUUGAUAGCCCACGCAGUGCAAGUGUUAUUUGUACGUCAUAAUUUCAUAGAAGUUUGAUGUUUAAAAUAACGCUUGCACUGCGAGUGCUAUCAAAAUCGCUGCAGACUUUUCUUGGUCUAACUCUAAUUAUAUAAACUCGGACUGAGUUUAGUAUCAUUUAAAUGUAGUUUAGCGAAAAGGAGUCAUCCAUAAACUACGUAAUUUAAAUUAAUGGCCUUUGUUUUUGAAUUUUAUUUAACUGAUUAUCGUGAAUUAAGUAUAUCCUUUUCCCUAGACUACGUCCAAUUAUUGAUAGAAUCGGACCAAGCUAACUCUGUAUGGAAUUUCCAAUGACAAAGUGUGACUGUGUCAUCAUUAAUGUCAAUUUUCUAUGAAAAUAUGACGUUUAUCUCACUCUUACACUCACUCACUUUGUUAGCUUAGACGCACUCUACAUUUUUUAGCAGUUCUAAAUAAUAUUAAUAGUACAUUACUACAGAGGCCGGGACGAAAGGGGUUGCCGGCCGAAGACAUAUAGACGGCCGAGCGAAGCGAGACCGGAUAGGUCUGAGCGCGGGCAACCCCAUUUCCCGCCGAGGUAUGUAACUAUGUAUAGUGCUUUUCUCAAACAUGCAAUGAAAUAAAUAAAAUAAAAAAUCCACGAAACCCAAGUUUUAUUUAUAGAAAAAACUAAAAGUAAACUACACCCAAAAUAUAACCAACACGUACCUAUAUCAUUAUCACGCGUAUGUUUUACACGAGUCGUGUAUUUUUACUACCCGUAUAUUUUCAUGUAUCUUUGAUUUUUUCGCCUUGUAUCCGUCUGACUGUCGUUUUCGUCACAUAAGUUUACAUCAUGUUUCACAUACAUCGUUGCUUUAUGCAUGGAGUAAAUAAGUAUAAUUUCCACAGUGUUGACGAGUUUGUAGUUACAUUCAUUUAAAAUAUGCCACAAAACUGUUUCUAAUAAACUGUAAGCCAUUUUUCUUAGUUUCUCAAAUAAUAAAAUUGUCAUAAGCAACCAUAUACAUACUUCGUCUUUGAGUUGGCGGCAGAGGCAGCAAGUUAUUAAAAUUAAUUCUGCUUACGCUGCCAAUUCCAAAACCUACGAUUACAAUUAAUAUUAAUUUCAUUAUUUCGUCGGAACUCAUAUUAAAGUCAAAAAAUCAACAACGCACCAUAAAUCCAAUAAAACAGAAUGAAUAUUUUUCAACUUUACCUCCAUAA